CCUACGGUUCCCAUUGCACCCCAUUUUUAGCAAUGUCUUUGACUUUUAUAGGGUCCAUCCUACUCAAAUAACUCCAAAUGCCAUUAGGAUGAUUAUAAUAUUCAUAAUUAUGUGUAACUUCCUUCACAUAAACCUUAGGAUCUCUUUAUUUAGAUCUUUGGUCCUUUUGAAAUGGCAUCCAAUCGAGAAGGGUUGGUGGUACUUUUCUCUUUGAAAAAGUCAUAAAUUCAGAUCUAGUCUUCUCUCUUCGAUUCACGACUGGAAAGGUCAUUUUUUCUUUGUCUGGGCUCCCA
rnacentral:lncRNA from 1 species